CCUGAGAAACGGCUACCACAUCCAAGGAAGGCAGCAGGCGCGCAAAUUACCCACUCCCGGCACGGGGAGGUAGUGACGAAAAAUAACGAUACGGGACUCAUCCGAGGCCCCGUAAUCGGAAUGAGUACACUUUAAAUCCUUUAACGAGGAUCCAUUAGAGGGCAAGUCUGGUGCCAGCAGCCGCGGUAAUUCCAGCUCUAAUAGCGUAUAUUAAAGUUGUUGCGGUUAAAAAGCUCGUAGCCGAAUCUGUGUCUCACACUGUCGGUUCACCGCUCGCGGUGUUCAACUGGCAUGUUAUGUGAGACGUCCUACCGGUGGGUGGUGUAAAUUAUUGUUAUUAUCUUUGCCCCUGUAUAUUGUUGUAUGCACCAAUGUGUCUGUGUAUGACGUAUGUUAAUAUGCUGUUAUCAGUAUCGGCUAUAUGAAAAACGAUUAUAUUUCAUACACACACACAUUUAUUAGCUGGUGUAUGUGUGUGUGCGCGCAUUAUACAUAUGUUAAUAGCAUUUGUGUGUGCGUGUAUCACACUGCACCGGGCUGAUUUAUUGGCGUGUGGAAAAAUUAUUUUCCAAUUUUGAUAUGCGUCAGAUUUGAUAUACACGCAUAUAUAUACAUGCCCAUACGCCACUUGGAUUCAAAUGUAUAUUAUACGUAUAUGCAGUUGGGUGGAUAAUAUACAUCAAAUAAUUUGCCGUAAGUGUUUAGCCGUGAAGAACGGCGGCAGCCCCCAAUUGCAAUCCUGUCCGGUCCUCUUAAUUGAGUGUCGAGGUGGCCCGGUACGUUUACUUUGAGCAAAUUAGAGUGCUUAAGGCAGGCUAAAAUUUCGCCUGAAUAUUGUGUGCAUGGAAUAAUGGAAUAGGACCUCGGUUCUAUUUUGUUGGUUUUCGGAACUCCGAGGUAAUGAUUAAUACGGACAGAUGGGGGCAUUCGUAUUGCGACGUUAGAGGUGAAAUUCUUGGACCGUCGCAAGACGGACAGAAGCGAAAGCAUUUGCCAAAAAUGUUUUGAUUGAUCAAGAACGAAAGUUAGAGGUUCGAAGGCGAUCAGAUACCGCCCUAGUUCUAACCAUAAACGAUGCCAGCUAGCGAUCCGCCGAAGUUCUUCCGAUGACUCGGCGGGCAGCUUCCGGGAAACCAAAGCUUUUGGGUUCCGGGGGAAGUAUGGUUGCAAAGCUGAAACUUAAAGGAAUUGACGGAAGGGCACCACCAGGAGUGGAGCCUGCGGCUUAAUUUGACUCAACACGGGAAACCUCACCAGGCCCGGACACCGGAAGGAUUGACAGAUUGAGAGCUCUUUCUUGAUUCGGUGGGUGGUGGUGCAUGGCCGUUCUUAGUUGGUGGAGCGAUUUGUCUGGUUAAUUCCGAUAACGAACGAGACUC
rnacentral:rRNA from 1 species